ACUCACCACAAUCAUUGUUCCUGUCAUAUUGGGUGGAUCUGAAAGAUAAGGACAGCAGAUUGUGUUUGCACAUGCUGAUAAAAAGGCAUUAUGUAGCAUAUACUAGAAACUAAAGCAAUGCUCUGAUUUCUUACGGCAAGGCUGAUGCAGAUCGGCAUGGGCGUUGGCAGUCAGGCCGAUGAAGACGAAGAGUGUGAGAGCUGUGUACAUCCUUCCCGUCUUGAGGGAGUCACAAAAUGCAGACGACAAGUUAGAGAUGGAAAAAGCAACCCUAAGCCUGUUCAGCUUUCUGCACGGGUUUUAUAGGGC